rnacentral:lncRNA from 1 species
GCAUCCGGUAUCCACUUUUUAUUUCUUUAUUGAGGAGAUUGGUAUAAGUCCAUAGAGUGGCCUCUGAUAUCCAGUUCUGUUUUAGGAGAUUGGUAUAAGUCCAGUAAUUGGCAUCCGGUAUCCGCUUUUGUUGACUUUCUUCUUUUGUUUGCUUGUUUGUUAUUACUCAUUGCCUAUUCCAAAGGACACACUUGAGUCAUCUUCUAUAUGAUUUCAAGAGGUGAACCUUCUAGGAAGU